rnacentral:rRNA from 1 species
GGGCCCGCACAAGCGGUGGAGCAUGUGGUUUAAUUCGAUGAUACGCGAGGAACCUUACCAGGGCUUAAAUGCAGAACGACCGGCGUGGAAACAUGCCUUUCUUCGGACGGACUGCAAGGUGCUGCAUGGUCGUCGUCAGCUCGUGCCGUGAGUGUCGGGUUAAGUCCCAUAACGAGCGCAAUCCCUAUCUUUAGUUGCCAGCGGAUAAUGCCGGGGACUCUAGAGAAACUGCCAGCGUAAGCUGUGAGGAAGGUGGGGGAUGACGUCAGAUCAUCACGGCCCCUUACGUCCUGGGCUACACACGUGCUACAAUGGCAAGGACAAUGAGCUGCCAACCCGCGAGGAC